rnacentral:misc_RNA from 1 species
UUUAUUGCGUCUUUCUCCGGAAGUACUCGCAGUUCUCUCUCUAAUCGAUAAUGGAGGACGACGAUGAAUUCGGAGAUCUCUACACCGAUGUACUCCGCCCCUUAACGGCGUCGUUUCAGUCUCAGCAGCAGCCGGUAGCGCAAGAAGAAGCUGCGCCCAAAGCCGCCGGGGCUACGAGCCGGCCGAUCGAUCUGAACAUCAACAGCGAUGAUGAGGAGAUUUUAUACGGAGCUCCGAAUUCGAAUUCGAAACCGAAUUUUGCUGGGCCGAGUGCUAUUACUGGUCAGGAAAAAACCCUAGCUUCUCCGCUAGAUGUUAAAUCCGGGUCGAGGUUACCCGAAUCCAAUCUGUAUUUAAAA